rnacentral:rRNA from 1 species
UACGUAGGUCCCGAGCGUUAUCCGGAUUUAUUGGGCGUAAAGCGAGCGCAGGCGGUUAGAUAAGUCUGAAGUUAAAGGCUGUGGCUUAACCAUAGUACGCUUUGGAAACUGUUUAACUUGAGUGCAGAAGGGGAGAGUGGAAUUCCAUGUGUAGCGGUGAAAUGCGUAGAUAUAUGGAGGAACACCGGUGGCGAAAGCGGCUCUCUGGUCUGUAACUGACGCUGAGGCUCGAAAGCGUGGGGAGCAAACAGGA